UACGGAGGAUCCAAGCGUUAUCCGGAUUCACUGGGUUUAAAGGGUGCGUAGGUGGAAUGACAAGUCAGUGGUGAAAACCUGCAGCUUAACUGUAGAACUGCCAUUGAUACUGUUAUUCUUGAGUACAUUUGAUGUGAGUGGAAUGUGUCGUGUAGCGGUGAAAUGCUUAGAUAUGACAUCAGAACACCAAUUGCGAAGGCAGCUCACAAAACUGUAACUGACACUGAGGCACGAAAGCGUGGGGAUCAAACGG
rnacentral:rRNA from 1 species